rnacentral:rRNA from 1 species
ACAUGCCUACAACAUAGCGUUAAUGCAUUGGAUCCCAAUAGAACUACACAGUUAAGUGUGCUCGGGCUAGAGUAGUAUUGGGAUGGGUGACCACCCGAGAAUUCCUAUUAUUAUACCUGCC